rnacentral:rRNA from 1 species
CAAUAGCGUAUAUUUAAGUUGUUGCAGUUAAAAAGCUCGUAGUUGGAUUUCGGAUGGGACUUGCCGGUCCGUCGUUUCGAUGUGCACUGGCCAGUCCUAUCUUGUUGUCGGGGACUAGCUCCUGGGCUUCACUGUCCGGGACUAGGAGCUGACGAGGUUACUUUGAGUAAAUUAGAGUGUUCAAAGCAAGCCUACGCUCUGAAUACAUUAGCAGGGAAUAACACGAUAGGACUCUGGCUUAUCUUGUUGGUCUGUGAGACCAGAGUAAUGAUUAAGAGGGACAGUCGGGGGCAUUCGUAUUUCAUUGUCAGAGGUGAAAUUCUUGGAUUUAUGAAAGACGAACUUCUGCGAAAGCAUUUGUCAAGGAUGUUUUCAUUAA